rnacentral:rRNA from 1 species
GACAGAGGAGCCAAGCGUUGUCCGGAGUAACUGGGCGUAAAGCGCACGCAGGUGGUCGGGUGCGUGGGGUGUGAAAGCUCUGGGCUUAACUCAGAGAGGCCACCUCAUACGGCCUGGCUCGAGCCCUGCAGAGGUCCACGGAAUUGCCGGUGUAGUGGUGAAAUGCGUAGAGAUCAUGAGGAAGACCAGUGGCGAAGGCGGGUCUCUGGACAGUUCCUGACACUGAGACACGAAGGCCAGGGGAGCAAACGGG